AUUGAACGCUGGCGGCAGGCCUAACACAUGCAAGUCGAACGAGUGGCGGACGGGUGAGUAAUGUCUGGGUAACUGCCCGAUGGAGGGGGAUAACUACUGGAAACGGUAGCUAAUACCGCAUACUAUCGGAUGUGCCCAGAUGGGAUUAGCUAGUAGGUGGGGUAACGGCUCACCUAGGCGACGAUCCCUAGCUGGUCUGAGAGGAUGACCGGCCACACUGGGACUGAGACACGGUACAGACUCCUACGGGAGGCAGCAGUGGGGAAUAUUGCACAAUGGGCGCAAGCCUGAUGCAGCCAUGCCGCGUGUAUGAAGAAGGCCUUAGGGUUGUAAAGUACUUUCAGCGGGGAGGCGUUACUCGCAGAAGAAGCACCGGCUAACUCCGUGCCAGCAGCCGCGGUAAUUC
rnacentral:rRNA from 1 species